CCUACGGGUGGCAGCAGUGAGGAAUAUUGGUCAAUGGACGCAAGUCUGAACCAGCCAUGCCGCGUGCAGGAAGACGGCUCUAUGAGUUGUAAACUGCUUUUGUAAGAGGGUAAAGGCAGAUACGCGUAUCUGUAUGAAAGUAUCGUAUGAGUAAGGAUCGGCUAACUCCGUGCCAGCAGCCGCGGUAAUAAGGAGGAUUCAGGCGUUAUCCGGAUUUAUUGGGGUUAAAGGGUGCGGAGGUGGUCUGAUAAGUUAGAGGUGAAAUCCCGAGGCUCAACCUCGGAAUUGCCAUUGAUACUGGUCGUCUAGAGAGUAUUUGCGGUAGGCGGAAUGUAUGGUGUAGCGGUGAAAUGCUUAGAGAUCACACAGAACACCGAUUGCGAAGGCAGCUUACCAAGCUACUACUGACGUUGAGGCACGAAAGCGUGGGUAUCAAACAGGAUUAGAUACCCUAGUAGUC
rnacentral:rRNA from 1 species